rnacentral:lncRNA from 1 species
GGGAAUCUUCUUUUUGCAUAGUGUCAAAGUUGGGAGUUUGGAGGGAAGUAAACAAGGGCUAGAUACGCCAUACGGCCACGUCAUGCUAGCUAUCUUCAAGUAGUAUUUAUUCUCACUUUGCUGUUGAUCUCCAUGUCACUGUAAAAAACGAUUUCUAGGGGGUGGGUGAAAUUGCCACCCGCAUCUACAAAACGGGGUUGUUACUGUAGUAUACAACCCGCCGGAGAACCAUUUGUAAGGCCGGGUCACGGGACGACCCGCCCCUGAAAAUGGGGGCGAUUUUCAAGGGCGGACGAUGGGGUGACCCACCCCUAGAAAUCAUGAUUUGCAAGGGCGGGUAAUCCCAUCACCCGCCCCUGAAAAUAGCCCCCAUUUCCAGGGGCGGGUGGCGGCAUCACCCGAUCCCGAAAAUUAUUUCCACGGGUGGGUAAUGACGUGGCCCACCCCUAAAAAUAGGUACAAUCCUUGAUACAUGAAUGCGCCAUGGACAUCCUCAGUAGAACACUUGGCAGAGUGCUUUACUGCCUUCCUGAAUGUGACUAUGAAUGUGACUAUGGUAGAAAUAUAAACCGUAGCUUGUCAUAUAUAAACCAACAAAUAAGUCAUGUCACAACUCAAUAUAAUCACAACCAAAUGAUAGAUCCCACACAACAUAUAAGACAUGUCACAUUACAUAUGAAGUUCAUAGAUCACAACUCAACAUAACCAAAUAACAAAUUCCACACAACAGAAAUAGAACCAAGAUUCAUUGACAAAUAGCACUACUACACUAUAUCCAUUUCUUCACUUAGCAUGAGCUACUCCUGAGGCAAAAAUCCCAAGCAUGACACAUAUACAACCAAGGUUACAAUAGCAGUAAUGGCAGCCAUAUUGCAUCCACCCUAGCAGCUUUGUUUUUCUUGGCCACAACAGUCUUGUUUUUCUUCCCUAGAAGAUGCUUCAACUCUCCCACUUCCAACUUCAGUUCAUUAACAUGCCCUUUC